CCUACGGGGUGCAGCAGUGGGGAAUAUUGGGCAAUGGGCGCAAGCCUGACCCAGCAACGCCGCGUGAAGGAAGAAGGCUUUCGGGUUGUAAACUUCUUUUCUGAGGGACGAAGAAAGUGACGGUACCUCAGGAAUAAGCCACGGCUAACUACGUGCCAGCAGCCGCGGUAAUACGUAGGUGGCAAGCGUUAUCCGGAUUUACUGGGUGUAAAGGGCGAGUAGGCGGGAUUGCAAGUCAGAUGUGAAAACUAUGGGCUCAACCGAUAGAGUGCAUUUGAAACUGCAGUUCUUGAGUGAUGGAGAGGCAGGCGGAAUUCCCGGUGUAGCGGUGGAAUGCGUAGAUAUCGGGAGGAACACCAGUGGCGAAGGCGGCCUGCUGGACAUUAACUGACGCUGAGGCGCGAAAGCGUGGGGAGCAAACAGGAUUAGAUACCCGAGUAGUC
rnacentral:rRNA from 1 species